AUUUUAAAAUACCAGAAUCAAUUUCCAAUAAAUACCCUGGACACAGCAGCUCAAAUGAGAACCAUCAAAACAGAAAAUGAAAAAAUGAAUCAAUAUGCACAGAAGUUUUCUACAAUAUGAGGUAGAUGUGGAUCUCCAAGGAACAAAUAAAGGGCAUAACUAACCUCUGCCAAUUGAAAGCAAACAAAACUGCCCUGCAUUUUCCAAGCAACCUAAGAAUGUGACUGUCCAGGAAUUGGGCUUAUUUCAGAAUAAGCCUCUCCUUCGUUUGAUCAGGAAAUGUGAGUUUGGGUGGGGGAGCAGAACGCUCUGACUCAGAUGAUUGAAUCAGAAUUUGCAUAACAAUUGUAACAAGGACCAAGAGAGUGACUGCAAAUGAAAUGAUUUCCCACGAGCCAAGGAAUGACAGCCAUUGGAAUAACCUGGCAAUGCUAUAGAUAAGGAGAACUGACCAGAAGGUUACAACCCGUUAAAAUAAAUAGAAUGAAGAAAAAGAAGAUAUAGAUAAGAACAGGAGGACAAAAAUAACUGUAUGUUGCUUUUGGAUUCAUGAAUUUAGAUUUAUAAUUUAUAAUUUUAAAUACUGAAUUUUAAAUUUAAAUGUUGAAUUUCAUAAAUUUAAGAUAAAAAAAUAAUUGGGUUGGAUUUGAAAUCAGGGUCAAAAAUUAUUUGAAAUUCAUCAAUUUUUACCCUCCAAAUUUUCUAAAUCAAUUUAACUCAAAUCCAAACAAUGGAUUUUGCCUAAAUCCAAAUCCAGGGGUUAAAAAUCUAAGAAUCCAAAAACAACAUCCUUUUCAUUUGAAAUCGCAUUAUUAUAGCAUUUUCUUACAAACAAAGAUUUUUUUGGUCGACCAAUGUCUUGAUGCUUUCGAUCACUGAAGGUGCCCCUAGUAACAUAUUUCUCCAACAUGGCAUCCUUAGUCACAAAUACAUCUUUGCACCAUUGUGAAAUGCCAUCAGCAGUUUCUGGAAGUUCCAGCAUCGAAUGUCAUUUGACUUGCAGAAAUAUCACAGAAGAUUGUCCUCUGAAUAUCCUUAGCAUUGUAGGUGCAGGCUGAUUUUUGUGAACAGCCACUGUGCAAUCAUAAAUUGCUGGAAUAAAUGAGCGUGUAUGAGCUACUGCUGAUACAAAACCCUUGGUGCGAGGAAGCAAUACAUUUCUAGGAACAGGCAAGCCCCUUGAAGCAGCAAACUCUUGGGCUGCUUGAAGCUUUGCUUCUGUAAAGCGAGUUCCUUCCACAAAAAGAGCCAACCAAGAAGGAAUAGGAAAAUCUGCUAGCCGCUUAAAACCUGACUGCAGUGCUGAAUCUAUAAGAUACACUCACAAAUAACAAAAUUAAUUGCAUGAAAUGCUUUUGAUAUCAAUUCCAACAAAGGAUAACUUCAAUGCUGUUUCAUCCUUUGCCCAGCUUCUUUCCAGAAACAGAUAAUCAGAAAACCACAUUGACCAACCUAUGAUCUGCAUCGAACAUAUUUGUAACUAACAUCCUCAUCCAAAAGUACUAAAAUCCAACCUGUAACUUGCAAUAGAAAAUGAAAGAGGAAAUGACACAUGACCAAACUUCAGCAAGUGAGAAAUUCCGAUGGUUUUAAAUUCAGGAAAUCAACUCAUUGCAUUAAACGAGAAGAGAAGAACACUGGUAAGAUUGAAAACUCACAGGGAGCAUUUUUGCUUGUUUCUUCAUGACAGCUAGUGUACUACCAAGACAACCUGAGCGCUGUUAUAACGUCAAUAAUAUUCUGAGAAAGGCAAAGGGAGCACACAACCAAGCAUGCAAUGAAAAUCAAAUAUUCAUAAAUUGAUUACAAAAGAAUAAUUAAAUGAGGCAUGUAAAACAAAUACAAUCGUGACAAUGAAGGCAUCCACGCGCAGCUCUGUUAAUUAUAUAUAAUAUAUUCACUGUAGAUUUACAAGUGUCUUGAAGCCAAACUAUGGCUAAAAGGUUGUCAUCCAUUUGAAAAUUUCAGGGGAAAAAGAGAGAGCUUAUUCUGUGCCAGGAAUAGCAUCAGAUCAAAAAACAACUUUUCUUGUCUAAUAAAAGGUCAGGGGUGAUGAGCGUCUAUAAAUUGGACCAUUUUAUUUGAAACUAAAUUAAUCCAAAGAUGCAAAGCAAAAGUUUAUUGGAAAAUUUGAGUCCUCAAGAACAGAAGGUGAAAACUUUCUCCACAAAAUGAGAUCCAGUUUUCUUUUGCCUUGAUAUAAAUGAUUACAGUAAAAUUUAGACAUUCUUAAUUAGGGGUCGAAGGUCCAAGUGUGGGUAGAAAGAGAUAGAAGAUAUAGAUUUAGGCCCAACCAAACUUUGGAAAGAUAUUGACAAGGGCAAAAGUUAAAGCAUAUGCACAAAAUUACAUAAGUUUCAUCUAUUUGUUACAAUACAAAAACCAGCACCUGAGCUAAGAUCCAUCCGACAAGCCAAUCAAUGUCGCUCCUGUGAUUGCAAAUCACAAGUGCAUGCUCUUUACCUGGAAUUUUCCCAAAUAAAAGAAAAUUCUAAACAUGUCAAAUGGACAAGGAUUACAUCUUAAGUUCACCCUGGGAGAAAAGGGAGAAAUAAUAAUAAUAAGUCAAGGUCUCAAUCAUCGAAUACUUUCCAGCUUACCCAUUAAUUCAAAAGUUUCAUCAUCUGCAUACACUUCAAUCUUCAGACAAGCCCACCAAUCAACGAGCCAUAUGAGCUCCAACCACAGCAGUUCUGCAACUAUUUUAUUAAUCCUUCUAUACAUACACUUUGAUAAUGGCCGAACAAUGAUGAAGAGAACUGCCUGGAUAAGAUUGACAAUGAGGCCAGAGACAAAGAAGAGAAUCCCAAUAGGGACGAUAGCAAGUGCAGCUGGAACCGCCAUUAUUGCUCUGCAAUACUGUAGAGAGAAAAUCAACUAUCAAGAGAAAAAAGUGAAAAUUUUGGAUUUUUUAGUCCCAGGAGAUUUGCGGUUUUGUGCGUAUCAAUCAACGGCGCAACGAAGAAAGCGGGCCUCGGGAUGCUGAUUAAACGCACCUUUCCCACCGUUCCAUGCAUGGAG
rnacentral:misc_RNA from 1 species